GAGUUUGAUCCUGGCUCAGAACGAACGCUGGCGGCGUGGAUAAGACAUGCAAGUCGAACGCUUAUUUUCCGGUAGCAAUAUUGGAAAGUAGGAGUGGCGCAAGGGUGCGUAACACGUGGAUCAUCUGCCUGGAAGUUCGGAAUAAUUCGGCGAAAGCCGGACUAAUGCCGGAUGUGGUUGGAAGACUAAAGUUGGGGACCGCAAGGCCUGACGCUUCCAGAUGAGUCCGCGGCCUAUCAGCUAGUUGGCGGGGUAACGGCCCACCAAGGCUAAGACGGGUAGCUGGUCUGAGAGGACGACCAGCCUCACUGGAACUGAGACACGGUCCAGACACCUACGGGUGGCAGCAGUCGAGAAUUUUUCUCAAUGGGGGAAACCCUGAAGGAGCGACGCCGCGUGGGGGAUGAAGGGCUUCGGCCCGUAAACCCCUGUCAUUUGCGAACAAACGUCAUGGUUGAACAUUCCAUGGCCUGAUUGUAGUGAAAGAGGAAGGGACGGCUAACUCUGUGCCAGCAGCCGCGGUAAUACAGAGGUCCCAAGCGUUGUUCGGAUUCACUGGGAGUAAAGGGUGCGCAGGUGGGUUUGCAAGUUCGAUGUGAAAGCCCCGGGCUUAACCCGGGAAUGGCAUUGGAUACUGCAGAUCUGGAGGAUCGGAGGGGGGACUGGAAUUCUUGGUGUAGCAGUGAAAUGCGUAGAUAUCAAGAGGAACACC
rnacentral:rRNA from 1 species